AUUUUGGGCAAUGGGCGCAAGCCUGACCCAGCAACGCCGCGUGAAGGAUGAAGUUUUUCGGAAUGUAAACUUCGUAAGAAUGGGAAGAAUCAAUGACGGUACUAUUUGUAAGGUCCGGCUAACUACGUGCCAGCAGCCGCGGUAAUACGUAGGGACCAAGCGUUGUUCGGAUUUACUGGGCGUAAAGGGCGCGUAGGCGGCAAUUCAAGUCAGACUGUGAAAUCUCCGGGCUUAACUCGGAACGGUCGGCUGAUACUGCUUUGCUAGAGUGCAGAAGGGGCAAUCGGAAUUCUUGGUGUAGCGGUGAAAUGCGUAGAUAUCAAGAGGAACACCUGAGGUGAAGACGGGUUGCUGGGCUGACACUGACGCUGAGGCGCGAAAGCUAGGGUAGCAAACGGGAUUAGAUACCCCGGUAGUCCUAGCCCUAAACGAUGAAUACUUGGUGUCUGGAGUUUUUAUCCUCCGGGUGCCGUCGCUAACGUUUUAAGUAUUCCGCCUGGGGAGUACGCACGCAAGUGUGAAACUCAAAGGAAUUGACGGGGGCCCGCACAAGCGGUGGAUUAUGUGGAUUAAUUCGAUGCAACGCGAAAAACCUUACCUGGCCUUGACAUGUACGGAACUUUCCAGAGAUGGAUUGGUGCUCGAAAGAGAGCCGUAACACAGGUGCUGCAUGGCUGUCGUCAGCUCGUGUCGUGAGAUGUUGGGUUAAGUCCCGCAACGAGCGCAACCCUUGCCAUUAAUUGCCAUCAUUUAGUUGGGCACUUUAAUGGGACUGCCGGUGACAAACCGGAGGAAGGUGGGGAUGACGUCAAGUCCUCAUGGCCCUUAUGGCCAGGGCUUCACACGUAAUACAAUGGUCGGUACAGAGGGUUGCCAAGCCGCGAGGUGGAGCCAAUCCCAGAAAGCCGAUCGUAGUCCGGAUUGCAGUCUGCAACUCGACUGCAUGAAGUCGGAAUCGCUAGUAAUCGCGGAUCAGCAUGUCGCGGUGAAUACGUUCCCGGGCCUUGUACACACCGCC
rnacentral:rRNA from 1 species